UUUAGGGAGACCCAAUCAAGUAAAAAGAACCAAGUAAAAAGUAAAAAAGAAAGAGAAAGAAUCUUUUAACUUUUGACUUUUAACUUUUAACUUGAUUUAUCCCGAGGUCGAUCAUUAGUCAACAGUGCAAGCUUUCAAACUAUUUUUGGUUCACCUCAAUUGUAUAACAUAAAGUUACAAUGAAAAUUAAUUUAUUAGCUCUGAAGAACAGACUAAGUUUAUUAAUAUUUCAAGUAAUUAUUAUACUUUAUGCUGAUAAACAGUAUGUAAAGGAAGAAAGUUUCAGCAUCUUGUGAGCCAAAGCAAGAAUGCUGGGGUAUUUCCAGCAAAAGAACCUUGAAAACUGCAUAGAAACGCGAAAUAUGUCAGGUAGUUAACUAUCAACAAUAGUUAACACUUCCAUAAAAAGCAGCAAUGAUUGUUUGU
rnacentral:misc_RNA from 1 species